AACGAACGCUGGCAGCAGGCCUAACACAUGCAAGUCGAACGCUCCGCAAGGGGAGUGGCAGACGGGUGAGUAACACGUGGGAAUCUUCCUAUUGGUACGGAAUAGCUCAGGGAAACUUGGGGUAAUACCGUAUAAGCCCGUGAGGGGAAAGAUUUAUCGCCGAUAGACGAGCCCGCGUCUGAUUAGCUAGUUGGUGGGGUAACGGCUCACCAAGGCGACGAUCAGUAGCUGGUCUGAGAGGAUGACCAGCCACACUGGGACUGAGACACGGCCCAGACUCCUACGGGAGGCAGCAGUGGGGAAUAUUGGACAAUGGGCGCAAGCCUGAUCCAGCCAUGCCGCGUGAGUGACGAAGGUCUUCGGAUUGUAAAGCUCUUUUGCCAGGGACGAUAAUGACGGUACCUGGAGAAUAAGCCCCGGCUAACUUCGUGCCAGCCGCCGCCGUAAAAC
rnacentral:rRNA from 1 species